GGUUGCAAUUUUGAGGCCAUAACAGAAGUGCUCCUGGCAUGGCCCUGUCAAAUUCCAAUGAAUCUGCAAAUUCUGCU
rnacentral:ribozyme from 1 species